UCUGGAAAGGCGCGCGAUACAGGGUGACAGCCCCGUACACAAAAAUGCACAUGCUGUGAGCUCGAUGAGUAGGGCGGGACACGUGGUAUCCUGUCUGAAUAUGGGGGGACCAUCCUCCAAGGCUAAAUACUCCUGACUGACCGAUAGUGAACCAGUACCGUGAGGGAAAGGCGAAAAGAACCCCGGCGAGGGGAGUGAAAAAGAACCUGAAACCGUGUACGUACAAGCAGUGGGAGCACGCUUAGGCGUGUGACUGCGUACCUUUUGUAUAAUGGGUCAGCGACUUAUAUUCUGUAGCAAGGUUAACCGAAUAGGGGAGCCGAAGGGAAACCGAGUCUUAACUGGGCGUUAAGUUGCAGGGUAUAGACCCGAAACCCGGUGAUCUAGCCAUGGGCAGGUUGAAGGUUGGGUAACACUAACUGGAGGACCGAACCGACUAAUGUUGAAAAAUUAGCGGAUGACUUGUGGCUGGGGGUGAAAGGCCAAUCAAACCGGGAGAUAGCUGGUUCUCCCCGAAAGCUAUUUAGGUAGCGCCUCGUGAAUUCAUCUCCGGGGGUAGAGCACUGUUUCGGCAAGGGGGUCAUCCCGACUUACCAACCCGAUGCAAACUGCGAAUACCGGAGAAUGUUAUCACGGGAGACACACGGCGGGUGCUAACGUCCGUCGUGAAGAGGGAAACAACCCAGACCGCCAGCUAAGGUCCCAAAGUCAUGGUUAAGUGGGAAACGAUGUGGGAAGGCCCAGACAGCCAGGAUGUUGGCUUAGAAGCAGCCAUCAUUUAAAGAAAGCGUAAUAGCUCACUGGUCGAGUCGGCCUGCGCGGAAGAUGUAACGGGGCUAAACCAUGCAC
rnacentral:rRNA from 1 species